CCUUGACCGAUGCCGAAGGGGUAUGGGAUGGUGAGGUUGCCGCAUGUUUCUUGGCAUCCAGGCUUCGCCAUCCUGGACGCUGUGCUGCUCUUGAUGCUUGCUAGCAGCAGCAGGGUGGCUGCAAAGAUUACCCAUGGUGAUUGAGCCAGGAAGGUUCUUGUUGACCCAGGGUCAAGACAGCGAAUGUACGGUGCAUGAAAGGAAGUUUCCCUGAUGUGACAUGUUGUAUCUGCAAUCGGGUCAAGUCGUUAAAGGGAGUCUUCCAAAGGACAAGAAGGCAAUCUAAUGCGCAUCCGGGUUCACGACAGCGAAGGUACUCAGGAAGGUGAGAAGGAGAAUGCUGGAACAAGGCGCGAAAACGCAGCAAGCUGAAGAACAUGUGGACAGCCAGCAUGGUGGGAGCACCAGUGAUGGUGUUGAUGCUGGAGGUCACCCUGGCAUGCCGAGGAUCAGAGAUGGCGCUGAUUGAGUUUGUGCUGCAGCUCAGACAGCUGACCACAUGUUGGUCUGUAAUAGGCAGCUCUGUUUGGUCCGUAAUAGUUGACCUGGAGUUUAUCUUCAUCCCGUGUGCUUUCGAUUUGACUUGAAGUUUAUCAUGUGUGCUUUCAAUAUGAUGAUGGUUGGUGUGUUUGCCGCAUAAAGACUAUGUGAGUAGUCAAACGUGAACAAUUUGAGUUUGUGAGGUAUUUGCAACUAAGCAGAAGUGUUGGCUUAUAAUCUAGAGUAUUUGUGUUGCUCUUUCUUUGGACAGCGAAGUUACUUUUAGCAGUA